CUCUUCCAUUAACAUCUCAUAACAAAUGUUGAAUUUGUUAACAAAUUGGGUGUGAUCGUGUGGGGGAUGAAACUAGUUCAUUCCUGAAAUUUAGCAUUCCUUCCCGGAAUCUCAACCAAUACAAAAUCUUAUUAUACUCGGCAUUGAAGAAACCCUGCCCACUUUCCUAAAAAGAAAAGAACAAAAAAAACGCUCCACUUCCCCCUUUCACAAGGCUUCACAUCUCAGCGACUCAUUUGAGACUUUGUAAACUAUGACGACCAUUGCAUUUCAUGCCAUUACCUUUCUUGAGAGGUCUUACACUUCAUUUUCUGGCUUUUGUGGGGAGCAAUGGCACCAGCAGUUUCUCUAACAGUAGCUGAUACAAAUUCAUUUAUAAGAUCACAGAGAGAGAGAGAGAGAG
rnacentral:misc_RNA from 1 species